GGACGAGUGCCCGAGCGGUUUAAGGGACCGGUCUUGAAAACCGGCGACGGUUUCCCCGUCCGCGGGUUCGAAUCCCGCCUCGUCCG
rnacentral:tRNA from 1 species